GACGAACGCUGGCGGCGUGCUUAACACAUGCAAGUCGAGUGCCGUAGCAAUACGGAGCGGCAGACGGGUGAGUAACACGUGGGAACGUACCUUUUGGUUCGGAACAACUGAGGGGAACUUCAGCUAAUACCGGAUAAGCCCUUACGGGGAAAGAUUUAUCGGCAAAGGAUCGGCCCGCGUUGGAUUAGCUAGUUGGUGGGGUAAUGGCCUACCAAGGCGACGAUCCAUAGCUGGUCUGAGAGGAUGAUCAGCCGCAUUGGGACUGAGACACGGCCCAAACUCCUACGGGAGGCAGCAGUGGGGAAUCUUGCGCAAUGGGCGAAAGCCUGACGCAGCCAUGCCGCGUGAAUGAUGAAGGUCUUAGGAUUGUAAAAUUCUUUCACCGGGGACGAUAAUGACGGUACCCGGAGAAGAAGCCCCGGCUAACUUCGUGCCAGCCGCCGCAGUAAAAC
rnacentral:rRNA from 1 species